GAGCCGGAUUCGGCGGGUGCCUGCGCCUCAUCUCCGCCUUGCGCUGGGGCUGGUAGCUGUUUACAGGACAAGAGUCCUGUUUAUCGGAUUGUUGGGAAGAUUAAAAUGGUUAAUGGAACUAAAGAAUUUAGAGAAGGCCUUGACACAGAGUGCCGUAUAAGUAUUAGCUAUUAUUUUUCUUAUUAAUCCUCAAUGACCCUUGCAAAGAAGCUUUUAUCAUCUCUAUUUGUCAGAUAAGGAAACUGAGGCUCAGAAGCGUAGGAAUGCUUUCCCAGGAUCCCACAACAAGGAAGGAAUAAAAUCAGGUGUACAGAGAAAGAAGGUGCUGGCACAGGAAGAUAGCAAGAGCUAGGACCUCGGAUGAUGUGGUUGGGCUGCUGAAGGAAUCCCGGGGCUGUCUACCUACAGGUUUCUUAAGAUUUCGUAAGACGUGAGAUAAGUGUCUUUAUUGCUGAAGCUGCUCUUGAAGGGAGAGACAGAGCAUGAACAGGGGAGGGUCAGAGAGAGGGAGACACA